UUGCUUUAGCAGAAUACACACUAAAAUUUGAAUGAUACAGAGAUUAUCAUCCCCUGCACAAGAAUGACACACAAUUUAGUGAAGUGUUCCAUAUUUUC
rnacentral:snRNA from 1 species